UCUAGAGGCUUCGACAAUGCCCGAAAGGGUGAUCGAGCGACGCCGCGUGCGGGAUGAAGGUCUUCGGAUUGUAAACCGCUUUUGUUUGGGAAGAAGGCCUGUAUCGUGAAUAUGGGAUUGACGGUACCAAACGAAUAAGCCCCGGCUAACUCCGUGCCAGCAGCCGCGGUAAGACGGAGGGGGCAAGCGUUGUUCGGAAUCAUUGGGCGUAAAGGGCUCGUAGGCGGACUAGAAAGUCUGGCGUGAAAACUCCACCGCUCACCGGGGAGAGGUCGCUGGAUACUACUAGUCUUGAGUUCGGUAGAGGGUCGUGGAAUUUCGGGUGUAGCGGUGGAAUGCGUAGAUAUCCGAAAGAACACCGGUGGCGAAGGCGGCGACCUGGGCCUGAACUGACGCUGAGGAGCGAAAGCUAGGGGAGCAAACGGG
rnacentral:rRNA from 1 species